rnacentral:rRNA from 1 species
UACGAAGGGUGCAAGCGUUACUCGGAAUUACUGGGCGUAAAGCGUGCGUAGGUGGUUUUGUUAAGUCUGAUGUGAAAGCCCUGGGCUCAACCUGGGAAUUGCAUUGGAUACUGGCAGGCUAGAGUGCGGUAGAGGGUAGUGGAAUUCCCCGGUGUAGCAGUGAAAUGCGUAGAGAUCGGGAGGAACACCAGUGGCGAAGGCGACUACCUGGACCAGCACUGACACUGAGGCACGAAAGCGUGGGAGCAAACAGG